GACGAACGCUGGCGGUGUGCUUAACACAUGCAAGUCGAGCGAGAAUCGUUUAUUGAAGGCUUCGGCUGGAAAUAGAUGAGGAAAGCGGCGGACGGGUGAGUAACACGUGGGCAACCUGCCUGUAAGACUGGGAUAACUCCGGGAAACCGGAGCUAAUACCGGAUAACAUUUUCUCUUGCAUAAGAGAAAAUUGAAAGAUGGUUUCGGCUAUCACUUACAGAUGGGCCCGCGGUGCAUUAGCUAGUUGGUGAGGUAACGGCUCACCAAGGCAACGAUGUAUAGCCGACCUGAGAGGGUGAUCGGCCACACUGGGACUGAGACACGGCCCAGACUCCUACGGGAGGCAGCAGUAGGGAAUCUUCCGCAAUGGACGAAAGUCUGACGGAGCAACGCCGCGUGAGUGAUGAAGGCUUUCGGGUCGUAAAACUCUGUUGUUAGGGAAGAACAAGUACAAGAGUAACUGCUUGUACCUUGACGGUACCUAACCGGAAAGCCACGGCUAACUACGUGCCAGCCGCCGCAGUAA
rnacentral:rRNA from 1 species